GUAAGAUUCUGCCAGGUAUGGGCACUGGGCAUCAAGUAAAAUGUGUUUCUAGAUUUGGGAGAUGAAACUGAGGAAUGGGCAUGGCCUUUUGGGGAGCAGCUGAAGGUCCACAGGUAGGAAGAAAGCUGGAUGCAUUACUGGGAUUGGGGCAGAGAAGUAGUAGGGGCCAGAGAAGACGGUCUGCUAGAAAGCUAAUGAUAACUAACCAGUACCCCGGAGCUCUUGACUCUAGCUGCAUAUGUAUCAAAAGAUGGCCUAGUCGGCCAUCACUGGAAAGAGAGGCCCAUUGGACACGCAAACUUUAUAUGCCCCAGUACAGGGGAACGCCAGGGCCAAAAAGGGGGAAUGGGUGGGUAGGGGAAUGAUGGUGGGUGGGUAUGGGAGACUUUUGGUAUAGCAUUGGAAAUGCAAAUGAGUUAAAUACCUAAUAAAAAAUGGAAAAAAAAAAGAUUGAGGGAUUGGAAUUGGAGCACAGGACAGAUAGUGAAGAUCUCCUACAUGACCUACAUAAUUCCCUGGCUUGAAGAAUGGCCUGACUGUGAUUUGCCUAUGGGUUUCCAGGUAGAGAGUGACUACAGGAGCUGUGAUGACCAAAAAAUCGGUCAGAGUAAGAAAACUGUAGGAAAAGAUCUGUGCGCUUCACUAGGAAUUGGUGGCAGAGAGAAAUGAAUAUCAGGGAGUUGGGCACAGCAGGCAGUGAGCUACAAAUCUGAGAUAACACUGGGGCAUUAGAAUUUGAGGACAUUGGUAUUUGAGAGAAUGUAGCCUACCUAAUAAUAGUAAAGAUUUCUUAAUUUGGGAGAUAUAUAUGAGACUCUUUGUAGAAGGUAUAAGUUAUUCUUUUUAAGAGUUAUUUACAAAGGCUCUGUGGGAAGAUUGGAUACCUUUGAGUGCAUACUGUGGAGGGAAACUCUGGCCUCCACAAAUGUAUGUACACAUAUAAACAUGUAAUUGUCACCACUAGCUAUUGGUCUUAUGCUGCCCAGAGUGCACUAAGUAACAUCCACUGCUUUUUGUGAUUUAUCAACUCAACAUUCCUAACCCUUUCACUGUAUUCAUGGACAGGAGCAUUGUACCCUCCCAAACCCCCACUCUACCCACUGUGCAUCUUUAUCUUUGCCACAAUAGCAUCCUACUUUUGCUUUAGAGCAUCCUUUCCCAGCAGCUCCCUUACAAAUGCCACUUAUCAUUUGAUAACUCAAGAGCCUCAUCUUUCAUGGUUGAGAACUGACAGAGGAGAGACCUAGGAACUGAACUUGGGACAUCUGUCAGAGCAGUGAUUGCCCUUCACCAUUGUAUCAGGUCCUUGCCUCCUGAUUUUGCAAUAUUUUUUUUUGUUAAUUUCUCUUUUAUUUCAUCUAACAAGAUUAAUUAUACACUUCAAAUUUACAAAAAACACUCAACUCUCACAAAGGACUGGUGGGAAAAGCAGCCAUAACUGAGUACAUGGUCUUUCUCUGCUUUAUUGUCACCUGUGACAUCAGAAGACCUAUGU
rnacentral:lncRNA from 1 species